AUUGAACGCUGGCGGCAGGCCUAACACAUGCAAGUCGAACGAGUGGCGGACGGGUGAGUAAUGUCUGGGAAACUGCCUGAUGGAGGGGGAUAACUACGGGAAACGGUAGCUAAUACCGCAUACCAUCAGAUGUGCCCAGAUGGGAUGAGCUUGUUGGGGGGGUAACGGCUCACCAAGGCGACGUUCCCUAGCUGGUCGGAGAGGAUGACCAUCCACACUGCAACGGAGACACGGUCCAGACACCUACAGGAGGCAGAAGUGGGGAAUAAUUGACAAUGUGCGCAAGCCUGAUGCAAACAUGCCGCGUGUAUGAAGACGGCCUUCGGGGUGUAAAGUACUUUCAGCGGGGAGGCGUUACCCGCAGAAGGAGCACCGGCUAACUCCGUGCCAGCAGCCGCAGUAAUUC
rnacentral:rRNA from 1 species